AAUACCCUGGGGAGUUGGUGAUUGUCCGAUGGUUUUUGAGCCAAUACACUCAAAACGGGAUCCAAGCCCGAGCCAACCUGUGUGCAUGCCCGGCUAUGUCGGGAAGCCUGAUGGUGGCCGGCGGAGCCCACCUGGUCAAACCAGGUUCAAAACUGACGGCAACACGGCCUCCCGGGGUUCCG
rnacentral:other from 1 species